GGUAGUGUGGCCGAGCGGUCUAAGGCGCUGGAUUAAGGUUCCAGUCUCAAUAGAGGAGUGGGUUCAAAUCCCACCACUGCCA
rnacentral:tRNA from 1 species